rnacentral:lncRNA from 1 species
UAAAUUAGUUGACCGUAAUUUUUUUAUAAAAAAAAUCAAAUCAAACAACUUAAUUAAGUUAAAAGAAAAAAUAAUAAAAAUAAAAUAAAAUUGGUGCGGUACAUUGCAGAGAAAAUACAAAAGUAAAAAUAAAAGAGGGAUAGUAAAAAUAGGAGAGAGAGAAAGUACACAUAUUGCAUAGGAAACAAAGCAUUCAUAAUAUUUGAAAAUUUCAGAACUACAUUAGCAACAGAGGAUAAACA